AUUGAACGCUGGCGGCAGGCCUAACACAUGCAAGUCGAACGGUAGCACAGAGGAGCCUGCUCCUUGGGUGACGAGUGGCGGACGGGUGAGUAAUGUCUGGGAAACUGCCCGAUGGAGGGGGAUAACUACUGGAAACGGUAGCUAAUACCGCAUAACGUCGCAAGACCAAAGAGGGGGACCUUCGGGCCUCUUGCCAUCGGAUGUGCCCAGAUGGGAUUAGCUAGUAGGUGGGGUAACGGCUCACCUAGGCGACGAUCCCUAGCUGGUCUGAGAGGAUGACCAGCCACACUGGAACUGAGACACGGUCCAGACUCCUACGGGAGGCAGCAGUGGGGAAUAUUGCACAAUGGGCGCAAGCCUGAUGCAGCCAUGCCGCGUGUAUGAAGAAGGCCUUCGGGUUGUAAAGUACUUUCAGCGAGGAGGAAGGCGUUGUGGUUAAUAACCGCAACGAUUGACGUUACUCGCAGAAGAAGCACCGGCUAACUCCGUGCCAGCCGCCGCGGUAAAAGGG
rnacentral:rRNA from 1 species